rnacentral:rRNA from 1 species
AACGAACGCUGGCGGCAGGCUUAACACAUGCAAGUCGAGCGCCCCGCAAGGGGGGCGGCAGACGGGUGAGUAACGCGUGGGAAUCUACCGUGCCCUACGGAAUAACGCAUGGAAACGUGUGCUAAUACCGUAUACGCCCUACGGGGGAAAGAUUUAUCGGGGUAUGAUGAGCCCGCGUUGGAUUAGCUAGUUGGUGGGGUAAAGGCCUACCAAGGCGACGAUCCAUAGCUGGUCUGAGAGGAUGAUCAGCCACAUUGGGACUGAGACACGGCCCAAACUCCUACGGGAGGCAGCAGUGGGGAAUAUUGGACAAUGGGCGCAAGCCUGAUCCAGCCAUGCCGCGUGAGUGAUGAAGGUCUUAGGAUUGUAAAGCUCUUUCACCGGUGAAGAUAAUGACGGUAACCGGAGAAGAAGCCCCGGCUAACUUCGUGCCAGCCGCCGCCGUAA